rnacentral:lncRNA from 1 species
AUGCACAUUAUUCUGGAGCCACCUAUGUUUUUGUUAAGCUCCCUGGAGCUGUGUGUCAGCUCGGGUAAUAGGUACAAGGUUUUCGGCUCCGGGACUCAACUCAUAGUGACCAAUACAGAAUCGAAGCCUCCUACGGUGACUACGUACAUUCCUUCAAAACCUCACGAAAAUAAGGCCUCCUUGCUGUGCGUGGCCACAGACAUGUAUCCAAAUGUGGUCAAAUUCAUAUGGGAGAAAAAGGACGGAAACGACUGGAAAAAUGUGCCAUCAAAUGAAAUGAGGACCCUGCAGCAGGAGGAGGAAAGUAGGGUCUCCAGCAUCAUGAUCAUCGACAAUGAGAAGGCCGAGCGGGAUACCUACUCCUGUAAGGUGCAACACGAGAAGGAUCCUAAUCCCAGCAGAGGAAAAAGAGUGCCAAAAAAAAGUGAUCUCAUUACCCCCAAUGACCCCAAUGUCCCCAAACCUUCCUGUGUGCCCAAGCUGAGUACACCUCCGAGCAACACAUCAGAUGGUGAGCAUGCAUUGCCUUUAUGGCCAGAGAUUUGACUGAACUACACUAAAUCUGCAUUUAAGAAUGUACUCUGACCAGUACAUGAUAUUAAUAUGAAUAUCCAUAGCUUAUGAUUUCAUAGAAAAUCACUAGAAGACCAAACGGCACUUUGAGUCGGCUGGAUUACUGUGCUCUGUUAAAAAAGAAGGACUCCCAGAACAGCGUAUUUAUAAUGAUUUCAAUGUCAAAUACACUUUAUUAAAAUGUAAUACGUAUGAUUUUUUAAAAUUGUUUUAAAUGAAAAUGAAAAGGCCUGCAUUUAAGGGCUUUCUUUUCCAUCUGGGCUCGCAGAGAUCCGUUCCUUCAAGAACCCGAAUGAGCUGACCAACCUGAACAUGGUGACAUUCUCCUACUCCGUGAUGAUCCUCAAGAGCAUGAUGUACUUCGGCGUGGUGUCCAUGAUCAUGUACAAGAGGUCGGGCAGGUCGCUCUGCUGAAGAAAGGAGCCCGGCUCUUCACUCAUCAUCUCCUCGCACCUUAUUGUCAACGCAGGAGAACAGCACAUGCAUGGAGAACAUGUAAUAGCGAACACAGUGUUUUAUAGUAGCUCAUAAUUCUAAACCUCUGAUUGUACUUAUAGAUUUUUACAUUUUUUAUUGUUGCUAAAAGUAAACUGAGUGUUUUCAUGUCUGUGAAGUGAUAUACUGUACGUUUCACGAAAGUAUAUAAUUAUUAUUAUAACUGUAUAAUUCUUAUAAUUAUAUCAGCAGUUCUUAUAAUUAAGACAGUCAUCGUUAUAAUGAACACUGAUUUUUGUUUCCUUCGACUCUCACCGUUUUUGUACAUGAAUUCAUAUUAAUAUGAUAUUACGGCUGUAAUAAGGAGAAAAUUUCCAGAAGAAAAUAUUGUUUGGAUUUCUAUAGCGCUGUGAUUUAAUUGUCCUUUGUUGUUUGUACAUUAUUAUACCUGUCGUGUACCUUUCAGACUCCAUCAGUGGAAAUGUCUGUUUUAAAAGAAAUUAAAAGCGGUGGUUGCAAAACAGUGUAUUGAUGUGCU